GAUGAACGCUGGCGGCGUGCCUAAUACAUGCAAGUCGAGCGAACAGACGAGGAGCUUUCUCCUCUGACGUUAGCGGCGGACGGGUGAGUAACACGUGGAUAACCUACCUAUAAGACUUGGGUAACUUCGGGAAACCGGAGCUAAUACCGGAGAAUAUAUUGAACCGCAUGGUUCAAUAGUGAAAGACGGCUUUCCCGUCUCUUAUAGACGGAUCCGCGCCGCAUUAGCUAGUUGGUAAGGUAACGGCUUACCAAGGCAACGAUGCGUAGCCGACCUGAGAGGGUGAUCGGCCACACUGGAACUGAGACACGGUCCAGACUCCUACGGGAGGCAGCAGUAGGGAAUCUUGCGCAAUGGGCGAAAGCCUGACGGAGCAAUGCCGCGUGAGUGAUGAAGGUCUUCGGAUCGUAAAACUCUGUUAUUAGGGAAGAACAAAUGUGUAAGUAACUAUGCACGUCUUGACGGUACCUAAUCAGAAAGCCACGGCUAACUACGUG
rnacentral:rRNA from 1 species